rnacentral:rRNA from 1 species
AACGAACGCUGGCGGCAUGCCUAACACAUGCAAGUCGAACGAGACCUUCGGGUCUAGUGGCGCACGGGUGCGUAACGCGUGGGAACCUGCCCUUAGGUUCGGAAUAACUCCCCGAAAGGGGUGCUAAUACCGGAUAAUGUCUUCGGACCAAAGAUUUAUCGCCUUUGGAUGGGCCCGCGUUGGAUUAGCUAGUUGGUAGGGUAAAAGCCUACCAAGGCGACGAUCCAUAGCUGGUCUGAGAGGAUGAUCAGCCACACUGGGACUGAGACACGGCCCAGACUGAGACGGGGGGAAGAGGGGGGGAAAAAGGAAGAGGGGGAGAAAGCCGGAUACAGCGAGGCCGGGUGGGUGAGGAAGGCCUUGGUGUUGCAAAUGUUUUUUCCCCGGGAUGAAAAAGGCAUAGCGGGAAGAAUAGGCUGCGGCAAACUCGGGGCCAGCAGCGGGGAAAUAGGAGGAAGCGCCAACGUCUGAAC